CUGCUACUGUGAGCCACUAAAUGCUUGGCAUAUGUAUUGUACACUUCACUUUUAAUUUGAUUCAACAGGCCAUUUGCAAAACAGUUUCAAAAAUUUGUUUUCAAGCCAGGGGAUUUAAUGUAACUAAAAUACUUAAGUCUAACUAGGUUAAAAGUCUAAGAUACAAAGGAUGCUUUCCUUCAUGGUGUCAUACAGUAAUAAUCCUUUCAGGUA